rnacentral:lncRNA from 1 species
GUUUGACAGCACAUAUACAUGGUCUCUAGUCAUAUGGGUCCUUGUUGUGUAGAUUGGCUGCAGUAAAUUCACUGUAGGAGUAGGGUGAGCACUUACAUGGAAUCUAUCGACCUUGAUAGAUGAGGAGUGAUCCUAUGUGAUUUAUUAGACUGAGUUCUAAGACCUUGGCCAGGGCAGAAUAUAUAGUGGAAAAGAGUUUUCUACUCUCGAACUCAAGUCGAAUAAAUCUAGACAUAUGACAGACGAUGGGGUUUGACGAGUUAUCCAUGACCUCUGGUCUGUAGGGAUCCACGAUAGAAGG